GAAGAGUAGUGCUGCUUGGUAGUGCAGUAUGAAGAGGAGGUAGAAACUUCUAAAGCUAAAUACAGACGGAUACCGAUAGAGAAGAAGUAGUGCGAACGAAAGUUGAAAAGAUCUCAUCUAGAGAAUGAAAAGUGAAAGUAUUAGGGCGUAAGCUGAUGACAUCAGACCCGUAUUGAAACACGGACCAAGGAGACUUUGAGUAUAGCGAGGCGAAGGAUGUGAAGUCCCCACCCGCGAGAAAUCUACAAGUUAUACUGAUAGGACCCGAAAGGCAGUGAACUAUACCUGCUCUGCUUGACGCCACGGCAAACCGUGGUUGAGGAGCUAAGUCGUAUUGAUGUUCAACUCAUUGACAGGAAGUGGGUAUAGGGGCGAAAGACCAAUCGAACUGCCUGGUAGCUGGUUCCGGCCGAAAUGUCUCUCAGGACAGCGGUGUCUGCGAAUAGGAAGAUGCGGUAGAGAGGAUGUCGACCUUGUCAACAAACUCCGAAUGCGUCAUUGUGUUGCGAUUGCAUCCAACAUGAUCAUCUAUAAGACACUAGUGGGCGCCUUGUGGUAAGCAUGCGGCGCAAAAAGGGAUGAACCUAGCAGUGGGGUAAGGUGCCUAAAGGAAAACAAAGAGAAAAAGCGUUUGGCAGAUUAGGACAGUGGGGCGGUGGCCAUGGAGGUCGGCAUCCGCUAAGAAACGUGUUACAACGUACCCACCGAAUCUGCGAAUGCUGAAAAUGGAUGGCGCUUAUUUCCAUACCGAGCCCCACAUGGUACAGCCACGUAGGCCGGCACGUGUGCAUCUGAGAAGACCCGCCGUGAGGUGUGUUGGAGAUGUUCACGGAGCAGAUCUUGGAAGUAGUAGCAUCAUUUGUAUGUGCCAAUGGAGGCGGGUUUGUCUUUUAAUAAAAGGAAGUGAUACGAGCCUAGUAAAAGGGAUAUAGUAGAUAUUCUAUAUAGAUGUACCUAUGUGGCAACCCGAAGCGACCCCCACGACGUGUGGCCGGGGAGAUUUUCGGGGACCCCCAAUCUUAUAACCGUCCCCUGAAACUAAAAACAAUUGGGCGGUAAAAUUAGGAACUCCUCUUACCAACCCAACGGUUUCUUGGG
rnacentral:ncRNA from 1 species